AGAGAAAAGCACCAGAAAUUCAUAUAAGUUUGAUCUAAUGAAGUCACUUACUCCUCUCCUCAAGAAUUCCUUCUUAAUACUUUCCACUAUGAUGAAAGCUUUUGACAAGUUUUUCCCUCAAACCUCCUUAUAUAAGGAUUGGAGUUUUACAAUGGCUAACGUCUUAACCAAUAACGGAGUUUUAACUACAGAGACCUCCAUAACCAACUGAGAGCUUUUAAC
rnacentral:lncRNA from 1 species